UACGAAGGGGGCUAGCGUUGUUCGGAAUUACUGGGCGUAAAGCGUGCGCAGGCGGCUUCUCAAGUCAGGGGUGAAAGCCCAGAGCUCAACUCUGGAAUUGCCUUUGAGACUGAGUGGCUUGAGUACGAGAGAGGUGAGUGGAAUUCCCAGUGUAGAGGUGAAAUUCGUAGAUAUUGGGAAGAACACCGGUGGCGAAGGCGGCUCACUGGCCCGUUACUGACGCUCAGGCGCGACAGCGUGGGGAUCAAACAGG
rnacentral:rRNA from 1 species